GUCUAUGGUCAUGCUACCCUGAACAAGUCCUAUCCCGUCUGAUCUCGGAAACUAAGCAGGUUUGGGUCUGGUUAGUACUUGGAUGAGAGACCACCUAGGAAGAACAGGAGCUGUAGGUG
rnacentral:rRNA from 1 species